rnacentral:rRNA from 1 species
CGCGUAUAGAAUCUGCCUUGUACAGGAGGAUAGCCUUUAGAAAUGAAGAUUAAUACUCCAUAAUAUUGAGAAGUGGCAUCGCUUUUUAAUUAAACAUUAUGGGUACGAAGAUGACUAUGCGUCCUAUUAGCUAGAUGGUAAGGUAACGGCUUACCAUGGCAACGAUAGGUAGGGGGUCGUGAGAGGAUUAUCCCCACCACUGGUACUGAGACACGGACCGAGACUCCUACCGGGAGGGCAGCAGUGAGGGAAGUAAUUGGUUCGAAUAGGAGGGCGAACUACUUGAACCAACGCCACUGC